rnacentral:lncRNA from 1 species
UUAUUUACAACUUCAAAGCAAUAUGUUUCUAUUUGUAUUGCACUUUCUCUUACUUAUGGUAAGUUUCUACUUAUGGUUUUAUUGUUCUUACUGCAAUUAGCAUGCCUCUAUGUUGAUUAAUAUGCCUAUCUUAAUCUAGCAUGCCCACUAAUCCCUUUGUCUGUCUCAUGCAUGUUUCUCCUUAUCCCCUAACCCCAGUACAUUACUAGCAUUUAUAUACGGCCCUAUUAGCUACAAAGUAACGCUGAGCAUCUUCCUGAUGUGUCAAUAUGUUUGGUAUCUAUCAAUCUAAUACUGUUAAGACCCUGACCCUUUUGUUUGAAACAUACUUGAUUGUUUAAGUUCUGAAGUGCUUCUCUUUGAUGUUUAUGUAUAUGUAACUAUGUUCUCACUUCUGAGUUACUUGUCCCCCAUGUCCUCUGCCCUGCUUGUGCUUGACUGAUAUUGUAUCUUCUAUUGCUUUUCUCUCAAAAUUGUUUUCAUGUGAAUCCUUUUUAACUAUUUUUGAAAGUAAAUUUCUUUUAAAGAUAACUCUACCCCCCACCCCCUCCCAUUGAUUUUCUCUCAAAACUAGUUCUCUA